rnacentral:lncRNA from 1 species
UGAAAUGGGAGUAACAUAUUGGACUUUAUAACAGAUCAUAUCGUCCUUGAACUUGGAGAGUUCAAGCAUUUUCACAUCGUUUUCUGGAACCAACUCGGUAUGAAUUCUGAGGAUCUAACCCGAUGCAACAGCCUGACGACUCCGAAUCCCCUGGAUUGGGUGCUGAACUUCGUAAGAA